rnacentral:rRNA from 1 species
GGGUUGUGAGGUUAAGCGACUAAGCGUACACGGUGGAUGCCCUGGCAGUCAGAGGCGAUGAAGGACGUGCUAAUCUGCGAUAAGCGUCGGUAAGGUGAUAUGAACCGUUAUAACCGGCGAUUUCCGAAUGGGGAAACCCAGUGUGUUUCGACACACUAUCAUUAACUGAAUCCAUAGGUUAAUGAGGCGAACCGGGGGAACUGAAACAUCUAAGUACCCCGAGGAAAAGAAAUCAACCGAGAUUCCCCCAGUAGCGGCGAGCGAACGGGGAGCAGCCCAGAGCCUGAAUCAGUGUGUGUGUUAGUGGAAGCGUCUGGAAAGGCGUGCGAUACAGGGUGACAGCCCCGUACACAAAAAUGCACAUGCUGUGAGCUCGAUGAGUAGGGCGGGACACGUGGUAUCCUGUCUGAAUAUGGGGGGACCAUCCUCCAAGGCUAAAUACUCCUGACUGACCGAUAGUGAACCAGUACCGUGAGGGAAAGGCGAAAAGAACCCCGGCGAGGGGAGUGAAAAAGAACCUGAAACCGUGUACGUACAAGCAGUGGGAGCACGCUUAGGCGUGUGACUGCGUACCUUUUGUAUAAUGGGUCAGCGACUUAUAUUCUGUAGCAAGGUUAACCGAAUAGGGGAGCCGAAGGGAAACCGAGUCUUAACUGGGCGUUAAGUUGCAGGGUAUAGACCCGAAACCCGGUGAUCUAGCCAUGGGCAGGUUGAAGGUUGGGUAACACUAACUGGAGGACCGAACCGACUAAUGUUGAAAAAUUAGCGGAUGACUUGUGGCUGGGGGUGAAAGGCCAAUCAAACCGGGAGAUAGCUGGUUCUCCCCGAAAGCUAUUUAGGUAGCGCCUCGUGAAUUCAUCUCCGGGGGUAGAGCACUGUUUCGGCAAGGGGGUCAUCCCGACUUACCAACCCGAUGCAAACUGCGAAUACCGGAGAAUGUUAUCACGGGAGACACACGGCGGGUGCUAACGUCCGUCGUGAAGAGGGAAACAACCCAGACCGCCAGCUAAGGUCCCAAAGUCAUGGUUAAGUGGGAAACGAUGUGGGAAGGCCCAGACAGCCAGGAUGUUGGCUUAGAAGCAGCCAUCAUUUAAAGAAAGCGUAAUAGCUCACUGGUCGAGUCGGCCUGCGCGGAAGAUGUAACGGGGCUAAACCAUGCACCGAAGCUGCGGCAGCGACGCUUAUGCGUUGUUGGGUAGGGGAGCGUUCUGUAAGCCUGCGAAGGUGUGCUGUGAGGCAUGCUGGAGGUAUCAGAAGUGCGAAUGCUGACAUAAGUAACGAUAAAGCGGGUGAAAAGCCCGCUCGCCGGAAGACCAAGGGUUCCUGUCCAACGUUAAUCGGGGCAGGGUGAGUCGACCCCUAAGGCGAGGCCGAAAGGCGUAGUCGAUGGGAAACAGGUUAAUAUUCCUGUACUUGGUGUUACUGCGAAGGGGGGACGGAGAAGGCUAUGUUGGCCGGGCGACGGUUGUCCCGGUUUAAGCGUGUAGGCUGGUUUUCCAGGCAAAUCCGGAAAAUCAAGGCUGAGGCGUGAUGACGAGGCACUACGGUGCUGAAGCAACAAAUGCCCUGCUUCCAGGAAAAGCCUCUAAGCAUCAGGUAACAUCAAAUCGUACCCCAAACCGACACAGGUGGUCAGGUAGAGAAUACCAAGGCGCUUGAGAGAACUCGGGUGAAGGAACUAGGCAAAAUGGUGCCGUAACUUCGGGAGAAGGCACGCUGAUAUGUAGGUGAAGUCCCUCGCGGAUGGAGCUGAAAUCAGUCGAAGAUACCAGCUGGCUGCAACUGUUUAUUAAAAACACAGCACUGUGCAAACACGAAAGUGGACGUAUACGGUGUGACGCCUGCCCGGUGCCGGAAGGUUAAUUGAUGGGGUUAGCGCAAGCGAAGCUCUUGAUCGAAGCCCCGGUAAACGGCGGCCGUAACUAUAACGGUCCUAAGGUAGCGAAAUUCCUUGUCGGGUAAGUUCCGACCUGCACGAAUGGCGUAAUGAUGGCCAGGCUGUCUCCACCCGAGACUCAGUGAAAUUGAACUCGCUGUGAAGAUGCAGUGUACCCGCGGCAAGACGGAAAGACCCCGUGAACCUUUACUAUAGCUUGACACUGAACAUUGAGCCUUGAUGUGUAGGAUAGGUGGGAGGCUUUGAAGUGUGGACGCCAGUCUGCAUGGAGCCGACCUUGAAAUACCACCCUUUAAUGUUUGAUGUUCUAACGUUGACCCGUGAUCCGGGUUGCGGACAGUGUCUGGUGGGUAGUUUGACUGGGGCGGUCUCCUCCUAAAGAGUAACGGAGGAGCACGAAGGUUGGCUAAUCCUGGUCGGACAUCAGGAGGUUAGUGCAAUGGCAUAAGCCAGCUUGACUGCGAGCGUGACGGCGCGAGCAGGUGCGAAAGCAGGUCAUAGUGAUCCGGUGGUUCUGAAUGGAAGGGCCAUCGCUCAACGGAUAAAAGGUACUCCGGGGAUAACAGGCUGAUACCGCCCAAGAGUUCAUAUCGACGGCGGUGUUUGGCACCUCGAUGUCGGCUCAUCACAUCCUGGGGCUGAAGUAGGUCCCAAGGGUAUGGCUGUUCGCCAUUUAAAGUGGUACGCGAGCUGGGUUUAGAACGUCGUGAGACAGUUCGGUCCCUAUCUGCCGUGGGCGCUGGAGAACUGAGGGGGGCUGCUCCUAGUACGAGAGGACCGGAGUGGACGCAUCACUGGUGUUCGGGUUGUCAUGCCAAUGGCACUGCCCGGUAGCUAAAUGCGGAAGAGAUAAGUGCUGAAAGCAUCUAAGCACGAAACUUGCCCCGAGAUGAGUUCUCCCUGACUCCUUGAGAGUCCUGAAGGAACGUUGAAGACGACGACGUUGAUAGGCCGGGUGUGUAAGCGCAGCGAUGCGUUGAGCUAACCGGUACUAAUGAACCGUGAGGCUUAACCUUACAACGCCGAAGCUGUU